rnacentral:rRNA from 1 species
ACGCGUGGGUAACCUGCCUUAUACAGGGGAGUAACAGUUAGAAAUGACUGCUAAUACCGCAUAAGCGCACAGGAUUGCAUGAUCUGGUGUGAAAAACUCCGGUGGUAUAAGAUGGACCCGCGUCUGAUUAGCUUGUUGGUGAGGUAACGGCCCACCAAGGCGACGAUCAGUAGCCGACCUGAGAGGGUGACCGGCCACAUUGGGACUGAGACACGGCCCAAACUCCUACGGGAGGCAGCAUG